rnacentral:rRNA from 1 species
UACAGGGGGUGCAAACGUUGCUCGGAAUCAUUGGGCGUAAAGCGCACGUAGGCGGUUCGUUAUGUCGGAUGUGAAAGCCCUUGGCUUAACCGAGGAAGUGCAUCCGAUACUGGAUGGCUUGAAUUCGGGAGAGGGAUGCAGAAUUCCAGGUGUAGCGGUGAAAUGCGUAGAUAUCUGGAGGAAUACCGGUGGCGAAGGCGGCAUCCUGGACCGACAUUGACGCUGAGGAGCGAAAGCUAGGGGAGCAAACGGG